rnacentral:rRNA from 1 species
AUUGAACACUGGCGGCAGGCUUAACACAUGCAAGUCGAGCGAGCGGCGUACGGGUGAGUAAUGUCUGGGAAACUGCCUGAUGGAGGGGGAUAACUACUGGCAACGGUAGCUAAUCCCGCAUACCAUCAGAACUGCCCAGCUUGGAUUAGCUAGUAGGUGGGGUAAUGGCUCACCUAGGCGACGAUCCCUAGCUGGGCUUAGAGGAUGACCCGCCACACUGGCACGGAGACUCGCUCCAUACUCGUACGGGAGGCAGCAGUGGGGAAUGUUGCACGGUGGGCGAUAGCCUGAUGCAGCCCUGCCGCGUGUGUGAAGAAGGCCUUUGGGUUGUAAAGCACUUUCAGCGAGGUGGCGUUACUCGCAGAAGCAGCACCGGCUCACUCCGUGCCAGCAGCCGCGGUGAUUC